UUAAAGUUGUUGCGGUUAAAAGCUCGUAGUUGGAGUUCUGCCGGGUGACGCUCCUCCGCCCAAGUGGUGUGUACAGGGCGUGCAUCUGGCCCUUUCAAGGGGAACGUAUUGCACUUUAUUGUGUGGUGCGAGAUCCUUGACUUUUACUUUGAGGAAAUAAGAGUGUUCCAAGCAGGCUCUCGUCGUGCAUAGCUCAGCAUGGAAUAAUAGCAUUGGACUUCGUUUCUACGCUGUUGGUUGCAAGAAGCGAGGUAAUGAUGAAGAAGGAUGGUUGGGGGCAUUCGUAUUUAACUGUCAGAGGUGAAAUUCUUUUUUUUGUUAAAGACGGACUACUGCGAAAGCAUCUGCCAUGGAUGUUUUCGUUGAUCACGAAC
rnacentral:rRNA from 1 species